GAGGUGCUGAAUGAAGGCCAGGAAGUUUCUGACAGCCUCGGCCUUGGAAAGGUUGUCAGGCUGCAGCAAAUUAUGGUAUUACAUCUUGAUGAUUUCACUUUUCUGAACACCAGUAAUACUAAAGGAAAGAGCAUCUCCCUAUAGUUACACACAAAGCAUGAAGCCAAUGGUUUGCUCUUCUGACAAGAGAUUACAGAUAAGGAAAUGCUGGAUGAAGGACAUCCUUUACACUGGCUCUGGAAGACCUGCCCCACAAUGGGAAUGGCCGUGUACUUUGAAUCAACUGCUUUGAUUAUGGCUGCAGCCUGCUUUCCAGACAUCAGUCUUGGGCCUGC